rnacentral:rRNA from 1 species
UAGCGUAGGUGGCGAGCUGUUGUCCGGAAGUUAUUGGGUUUAAAGGGUGCGUAGGCGGCUUGUAAGUCAGUGGUGGAAACUACUCCAGCUUAACUGGAGGGUGCCAUUGAUACUGCGGAGCUUGAGUACAGAUGAGGUAGGCGGAAUUAGACGGUGUAGCGGUGAAAGUGCAUAGAGUAUCGUCAAGAACACCGAUAGCGAAGGCAGCUUACUGGGCUGAUAACUGACGCUGAUGCACGAAAGUGUGGGAGCAAACAGG